UGUCGCUGACCUUUGAAGGGUCGUGCACACCUUGGUGCUUUCACACACAAUCCAUCUCACCCCUUUUGUGCAUUACCGCGUGGGGCCCCCUUUUAGUUAGUUCUGAAUGGGGCUUUCACGUUUUUACAAACACACCCUUUUAAUGCAAUGUGUAGAAUGUCUUACUUUUUUGCGAUCAUACGCAAUUAAUACAACUUUCAACAACGGAUCUCUUGGCUCUCGCAUCGAUGAAGAACGCAGCGAAAUGCGAUACGUAAUGUGAAUUGCAGAAUUCAGUGAAUCAUCGAAUCUUUGAACGCACCUUGCGCCCUUUGGCAUUCCGAAGGGCACACCCGUUUGAGUGUCGUGACAUUCUCAAACCUUCUUGGUUUCUUGACUAAGAAGGCUUUGGACUUUGGAGGCUUUUGCUGGACCUUCCCUUGUUGAAGCCAGCUCCUCUUAAAUGAAUUAGUGGGGUCUGCUUUGCUGAUCCUUGACGUGAUAAGAUGCUUCUACGUCUUGGGUUUUGCACUGUUUAUUCUAGAUCCUGCUUCUAAUCGUCUUGUAGAAGACAAAUGGUCGACUUGACCCACAAACCUUGACCUCAAAUCGGGUGAGACUACCCGCUGAACUUAAGCAUAUCAAUA
rnacentral:rRNA from 1 species